CCUACGGGUGGCAGCAGUGGGGAAUCUUGCGCAAUGGAGGAAACUCUGACCCAGCAACGCCGCGUGAAUGAUGAAGGUCUUCGGAUUGUAAAGCUCUGUGAUGGGGGAUGAACACAAUGACGGUACCCCAAUAGCAAGCCACGGCUAACUACGUGCCAGCAGCCGCGGUAAUACGUAGGUGACAAGCGUUAUCUGGAAUGAUUGGGCGUAAAGGGUGCGUAGGUGGUUUAGUAAGUUGGCGGUGUAAGUCCGGGGCUCAACCUCGGCGCUACAGCCAAAACUAUUAGACUAGAGUGCAGGAGGGGUAAGUGGAAUUCCUAGUGUAGCGGUGGAAUGCGUAGAGAUUAGGAGGAACAUCAGGGGCGAAGGCGACUUACUGGACUGUAACUGACGCUGAGGCACGAAAGCGUGGGGAGCAAACAGGAUUAGAUACCCUUGUAGUC
rnacentral:rRNA from 1 species